UUUUUCUUUCUUUUUCGGUCACACUUCACUGCAACUGCCGUGAGUCAAUUUGGAAGUCUGUUUUCUCUCUUUUUUUCUUUUUCUUCCUCCGCGGUGCUCAGCGUGCGGCUUGUGUGCGUUCUCUGUGUGUACGCGUCUUCUGGGGCUGUGUGAGAGCAGACGUCCCUCUGUCACCCCGUGUGCGGACAGACGCGCUCACGCCAGUAGGAGGGGAUUGUGGGAAAGGGGUGUAGCUCUCAGAGGGUGUGCUCUACUCCUCUCUUUUCCCUUCUUCCCGCCAUCACGGCCCUCUUCUCCUGCAGCCCUCUGGCCCGGCCCGCCGCUCACGUACAGGCUCCAGGUAUUUGUCUUUUUUAUCCCGCGACACCGCUUCCCAUCUCUCGCACAGCCCUGUAAUCUUCCACCUUCAGUUCCUCUCGCCCUCAUCUCUGUCCCUCAUCGCUGUCUUCCUCCCGCUAAAGUGCGUCUGCCGUCGCCAGUUGCCACGCUGCAGUCCGCCCGCCGCCAUUUUGGCCGUAUGGACAUGGGCAGCAGAAACUUUUCUAGAGCUCAGAGGGACUCCUCGACUCCCUGCUGACCAGCUUCUUUCUCUCCUUCUUUUUUUCCUUCUUCUUCCUUCUCUGUCCCUGUCCUCCUCUCGCUCCCCCCCCCCCCUGCCUUCGAGGACAGCCCGGCUCUGACAGGGUGGCAAACAGUCGCUCUGUGGCUUUUUUCGAAACCAAACAGGUGUCUCUUUGUAGGAGGAAGGACGGGCCUCCGCCAGGGGGGGUGGGGGGUGGGGGUUACUUUCUGACCUCAGAGGGUCGAUGGCGCCACCGAGCGAGACGCUCGUCCCCCGUCUCUUAUCACGCAGAGCGGGUUAGGCUCGCUAGAAUAAGGGAAGCGUUGACCCCAUUUGGCUUCACAUGCUGUUUGCACGUUCUGCCACUGUUGGAGCCCAGGUACGUGUCGGUUGUGUGACAGGGACGAGCCCCGUUGGUGCCGGAGGUUUGUCCUGCAGCCAUCGAGAGGUGGGGCGGUUUGCUAAAAGGUGGCAACUGUAAUGUUUGACUCGACACACUGCGUCAGAGGCGGCGGUACGUGAGACUUUGCACUUCAGACGAAACCGAGGCCGGGAGUGAAACCGAGUUAGGUCAAACAGAUGACACUGUAAAAAAAACAAUGUUGGCGUUGCUCUCCGGUUGUUUCUUAUUUUGUCGGUAAAUUCAGAGGACAGUCUCAUGCCAGUGGGCAGAAUGCCGUCAAACAAAACAGUAGAUAAGACAAGAAUGUGUGAAACUACCAACAAGCGAUAUGACUGCGGAUUGGAAAUUCAAUACAGAUUGAAUGACCUAACAUACAUGCAUAUUCCACGUUGUGUCAGGACUCUUGACUGCUUACUGUUUAUACUGUAUCUUGAUCUAAAUAAGGGUUGGUGUUAAGAUGGCGUCUUGGUGCCACGUGUUUAUGAAACAGUGAACAUGGGCAGACUUUCAACGUGCCCCUUGCCGCCACCACAUCUCGCGUACUACUCCUAAUUCCUCUGCAUCACCUUCUGUUUUGCCAGCGAUGGCAUUAGGCAGCAAAAACAGUUUACAAAAAAUAAAACCACAAAACAGGAACCUCUCCUAAUGAAUAUUGACAUGUGACAGAGGAAAAAACGAAAAAGAGAGAAGAAGGGUUAUAGAAACCAAAUGGAGGAGUACGAGAGCUCUUUCCCCGCCCCUCUCUUAUCCUCAGAUGAACUUAUUGUGUUGCCUCAUAAUGUUUCUGAGUUUUUCGCCUAGAGGCAGUCAGGCUAACUUCCUGCAUUCAGCCUCAACGUAGCUGAUUGGUCGAUAUCUCGGCUGACCAGCCGCGGUUUGCAGCGAGGCAACAGGAAGUCUCACUUCUCGUGCAGGAAGCAGCAGCUGUUUCAUCCUGACCUGCACCACUUUGCACUUUUGCACGCGCAGUCUUUGUACACUUGCAGAGAAAUAUGACUGCACACCCUUUGUGUGAGUGUCUAUGGCUUGCUCUAUGAGGCAUUGGUGAAAGCUAUAACAUGUAGGCGUGUAGCAACAUGCCGGGCCAGGCAUCUGAGCCAUCAGAACAUUUGAAACCAUGGUAACCGCAAAUCUUAUCAGAACAUUAGCAAAAGUAUACAUAGGUCGGAAGAAGGAGUGGGGUUAGUGAGAGAAAAUAAAACCAAAACAUAAAUCGACGUUUUCUUCAUUCACAGUUUUUAGGAACACAUCUGGUCCUGAGUAUAAUUUGAGGGUAUACUUAUCAACUCUUAUCCACCUGAAUAAACCUAUAUACAUUUGUAUAAUAUAAAUUAUAUAUAUGCCAACCGCUAUAGAUUGAUCUGUUUGUAGAUAAUCCUGAUUGUUCCAUUUGAUUCAACUUCUGUCUGUGUAUCUAUGGUUGAAACGAUGUUGACACUUAAACUCCUCCCUUAUCUGGGUCAUGCACCCUUUUAUCAAACAAAUGCCAUGACAUUGGACCUAACUUUUAAGCCUGUGAUUCCAACAUUUGUGCGUGCGGCCCAUGUUGCAAAACAGUGGAAAGGACUGGAAACCUUUUUGUUUCAUUCAAAAUGUCGGGAACACUGUCUCCUGGUGACCUGCUGCAUACUUCUGUAUACAUGUACACGUGGGGAGCAUGAGCUUGUUGUUUGCGUUUGGUUAAUGAGGAUGUACAGAAGAUCAGAGCGAUCACCAUGCCAAGUGAGCGUGGAGGAGGCUCAUACCAUCGUCCUUUAACGCAAUAAGGAAUUCCUUCGGUAGAGGGGAAGAUCAAAAGCAGGUAUGAUAAGAUCAUACAUCGCUCUCUAUUGAAGAUCAGGCUUCUUUUUCAUGUCUGCCAGAUGCCUAGACAUUUUUUUCCUCCUCCUCCAGAACAAGACUGCGCACAAGUAAGACGAGACAUUCGUUUGCGUCUUUUUGACUGUGGGAAAUAUCUGUCUUGCCAUUUAUUUUGUGGCAUACUUGGUCUGCCAACUCCAGCUCCCCCGCCGCUCCUCCUCCUCCUCCUCCUUGCCCACCAUCAUCCAACUCCUUCCUCCCUCAUUGAAAUUCAGCCUGGCACACAGACACUGCCCAUUAUUGGCACAAAGCUGAGAGAGAGAGAGAGAGAGAGAACUGGAGAAACACACAAGAACCUGUACCACUCGUCUGGUGCCCCCUCCGACGUGUCUGCCAAGCAUUCAUCCCAUUUCGCGGACCGAGGGACCAGGGAAUCUAAUAGGAGAGUUCCCUUUGUGGAUCAACGUUGAUGCUGUCCUUGGGGCUGAGGUAGUAGAUUGAAUAGUUGUGGGGUUGUGUAACCUCUUUUUGAGAUAACUAUACAAUCUACUGUCUUUCCCAAGGAGACAGCUAAGUCAGCACAUCGCCAACUGCCAUCUCCCGACGUAUCAACCAAGCAAUCCGAUCAAAAACAUAUGCGUGCAGCAAUGGACGUGGAAGACAUGGUGUGGAGUGUUUGAUUUGGGCUCUGUCAGGGUGAGGUAGUAGGUUGUAUAGUUUGGUGGGUGGGAUUGCGCCCUGCUCCGGUGAUAACUAUACAGUCUAUUGCCUUCCCCGAGGAGUUCAUUGAACACGUGGGAAACGCUCAACACACUCUCCUCAGCAGCGACGCAGUUAUUUGUAGAUUUUACAAAGAAAAGAGCAAGUAGCUAUAUUUCCAAAGGUUAGUGAUGAAUUGAUUUGAUGCCAUUGAACAACAACAACAACAACAUGUAAACAUCAAUAAAAUCAGUUGAAUGAA